rnacentral:rRNA from 1 species
ACGGGUGAGUAACACGUAGGCAACCUGCCCUCAAGCUUGGGACAACUACCGGAAACGGUAGCUAAUACCGAAUACUUGUUUUCUUCGCCUGAAGAGAACUGGAAAGACGGAGCAAUCUGUCACUUGGGGAUGGGCCUGCGGCGCAUUAGCUAGUUGGUGAGGUAAUGGCUCACCAAGGCGACGAUGCGUAGCCGACCUGAGAGGGUGAUCGGCCACACUGGGACUGAGACACGGCCCAGACUCCUACGGGAGGCAGCAGUAGGGAAUCUUCCGCAAUGGGCGAAAGCCUGACGGAGCAAUGCCGCGUGAGUGAUGAAGGUUUUCGGAUCGUAAAGCUCUGUUGCCAGGGAAGAACGCUUGAGAGAGUAACUGCUCUCAAGGUGACGGUACCUGAGAAGAAAGCCCCGGCUAACUACGUGCCAGCAGCCGCGGUAAUACGUAGGGGGCAAGCGUUGUCCGGAAUUAUUGGGCGUAAAGCGCGCGCAGGCGGUCAUGUAAGUCUGGUGUUUAAUCCCGGGGCUCAACCCCGGAUCGCACUGGAAACUGCGUGACUUGAGUGCAGAAGAGGAGAGUGGAA